UACGUAGGGUGCGAGCGUUGUCCGGAAUUAUUGGGCGUAAAGGGCUCGUAGGCGGUUUGUCGCGUCGGGAGUGAAAACCAGGUGCUUAACACCUGGCUUGCUUUCGAUACGGGCAGACUAGAGGUAUUCAGGGGAGAACGGAAUUCCUGGUGUAGCGGUGAAAUGCGCAGAUAUCAGGAGGAACACCGGUGGCGAAGGCGGUUCUCUGGGCCGAUACUGACGCUGAGGAGCGAAAGCGUGGGGGAGCGAACAGG
rnacentral:rRNA from 1 species